rnacentral:rRNA from 1 species
UGGGGAAUUUUGGACAAUGGGCGAAAGCCUGAUCCAGCAAUGCCGCGUGUGUGAAGAAGGCCUUCGGGUUGUAAAGCACUUUUGUCCGGAAAGAAAUCCUUGGCUCUAAUACAGUCGGGGGAUGACGGUACCGGAAGAAUAAGCACCGGCUAACUACGUGCCAGCAGCCGCGGUAACACGUAGGGUGCAAGCGUUAAUCGGAAUUACUGGGCGUAAAGCGUGCGCAGGCGGUUUGCUAAGACCGAUGUGAAAUCCCCGGGCUCAACCUGGGAACUGCAUUGGUGACUGGCAGGCUAGAGUAUGGCAGAGGGGGUAGAAUUCCACGUGUAGCAGUGAAAUGCGUAGAGAUGUGGAGGAAUACCGAUGGCGAAGGCAGCCCCCUGGGCCAAUACUGACGCUCAUGCACGAAAGCGUGGGGAGCAAACAGGAUUAGAUACCCUGGUAGUCCACGCCCUAAACGAUGUCAACUAGUUGUUGGGGAUUCAUUUCCUUAGUAACGUAGCUAACGCGUGAAGUUGACCGCCUGGGGAGUACGGUCGCAAGAUUAAAACUCAAAGGAAUUGACGGGGUCAUAGCUGUUUCCU